GAUGAAGAACGCAGCGAAAUGCGAUAAGUAGUGUGAAUUGCAGAAUUCAGUGAAUCAUCGAAUCUUUGAACGCACAUUGCGCCCCUUGGUAUUCCAUGGGGCAUGCCUGUUCGAGCGUCAUUUGUACCUUCAAGCUUUGCUUGGUGUUGGGUGUUUGUCUCGCCUUUGCGUGUAGACUCGCCUUAAAAUAAUUGGCAGCCGGCGUAUUGAUUUCGGAGCGCACUACAUCUCGCGCUUUGCACUCAUAACGACAGCGUCCAAAAGUACAUUUUACACUCUUGACCUCGGAUCAGGUAGGGAUACCCGCUGAACUUAAGCAUAUCAAUAAGCGGAGGA
rnacentral:misc_RNA from 1 species